rnacentral:rRNA from 1 species
GCUUACGGCCACACCGGCCUGGUUCCACCGCCCGAUCUCGUUUGAUCUCGGAAGCUAAGAUAGGUUGGGCCUGGUUAGUACUUGGAUGGGAGACCGCCUGGGAAUACCAGGUGCUGUAAGCU